GACAGAGGGGGCAAGCGUUGCUCGGAAUUACUGGGUGUAAAGGGCGCGUAGGCGGGAUGGCAAGUCGGUCGUGAAAUCCCUCGGCUCAACCGAGGAACGUCGAUCGAUACUGCUGUUCUUGAGGAUUGCAGAGGAGACUGGAAUUCCCGGUGUAGCGGUGAAAUGUGUAGAGAUCGGGAGGAACACCGGUGGCGAAGGCGGGUCUCUGGGCAAUUCCUGACGCUGAGGCGCGAAAAGCGUGGGGAGCAAACGGG
rnacentral:rRNA from 1 species